UACGGAGGGUGCAAGCGUUAUCCGGAUUCACUGGGUUUAAAGGGUGCGUAGGCGGGCAGGUAAGUCCGUGGUGAAAUCUCUGAGCUUAACUCAGAAACUGCCAUGGAUACUAUUUGUCUUGAAUAUUGUGGAGGUGAGCGGAAUAUGUCAUGUAGCGGUGAAAUGCUUAGAUAUGACAUAGAACACCAAUUGCGAAGGCAGCUAACUACAGGGAUAUUGACACUGAGGCACGAAAGCGUGGGGAUCAAACAGG
rnacentral:rRNA from 1 species